GCUUCGAAGGUGCUGCGGUUUUGUAAACCGAAGGUCGGCGGUUCGAUUCCGUCCGGGGGCACCA
rnacentral:tRNA from 1 species